ensembl:lincRNA Pantr1 POU domain, class 3, transcription factor 3 adjacent noncoding transcript 1
GAGUUUGGAGGGUGCCGGUCAACGAAGCCACGCGAGGUAUUUGAAAGGCAAUCAGCCCGACCGUCCCCCUAGAUUCAUCGUUUUGCGAGGUGGCUGUGACCGCUGUCGACAAGUGCUUUCUCAGCCGCAACCCAGCUGAAAGAGUUAAGGGGCCGGGAGGAGGAGUGCGCCCGGUAGGCGGGAGAAGAGGGGGUGGUGUGGUGUGUGUGUGUGGGGUGGGGGGGGGGACGACGCGGCCAAGCGGAAACGCCGCACAGAGGAACCUCAGCGAACCAAGAAAAAAGAGAAAGUGGCAACGAAAACAAGGACAAAUUAAAUCCUCCUUGGGGAUUUCCAAUGAACUAACGCAAUUCGGACAUUCAAUAAAUACACGACUCUUAAUGAGUGUGCGUGUGCUUGCACCCCGCACCCUCAGCUGCAGGGCACCGGACCGCAAUCUGCAGUUUCUAGUCCAAGCAGCAGCCGAGAACGUAACCCGGCGGUCGGUGUGCUCCGAAUAUAAAGAACUGGCCUGCCUUCUCCCCGAUGCAUAAUUUCUCUAGAGGGCUCACUUCUGUGAACUCAGUUACAGAGGGAGCUCUCCAGCUCAGCAGCAGCCUCGCAGCCUCUGCGUGAUCUCGAGAUUAACCGUAGACGCGGGGCAUUUAUGUAGGAUCGGGUCCAGCUCCUGCUUGCCGGGGUGAAAAGAUACCAUCGUAGAAACAGAUCUAAAAGGCAGCAGUAACCAAAGCCCCAAAACAGAACGGAUUCCCCCCUCCAUUCCAAAAGGUUCCUUUUUAUAUUUAUAUAUGCGUAUAUGUAUAUAUAAAAGAUGGAACACAGAUUUCAUUGAAUAAAUCUGAGAUCUCCAGGUGCAGACGUUUGAAUAGUCGGUGCCAGCACCCCGUGUUUUCCUUUCCUGCCGAUUUUGCUUGGAUCCGGCUCAAAAACCGAAAGAGUCUCGUGGUUUUGUUUACACUGAAUGGGGAGGAUAGGAACAGAGCCAUGGGGCCGCCUUUCAUUAAUAUACAGUGAGGAUUUUGUCUAAAUUACUGCUAUGAGUUUCACAGUACACGCUUUCAAAAGCCGUCUCAGGUGGCCUGAUGAAACGGGAUAGCGCCUCAGCAAACAGAUCCACUUUCUUUCUUUGCAAGGAGGGUGUGCACGUUCGGGAAGCCCCCCAAACGCUGUGCUCCUCAAUAACAGAAACGCACUUCUGUUCCCAGGUCUGUCCCCUUCUCUCCCCCCACCCCCCACGUACUUAGUUCUCAAAUCGCUCCCCACCCCCCCUCCNNNNNNNNNNNNNNNNNNNNNNNNNNNNNNNNNNNNNNNNNNNNNNNNNUGGAAAAAAAAAUCCAAAGUAUAUAACAAGGGGAGAACAGUUAGUGCUGAUUUUCAUUUGCAUACAUUUUCAUAUAUUUUGGUGAAAAUAAUAGACGAGAGAGAACCGGGCUUAGAGGAGUCAGUGUAAAGAGAAGGCUAAGGAUAACUCGGCUCUGGAGAGUAGAGAAUAUGCCUUCUCUUCUGCCCCUCCAGGAACCUUACUUUUUUUUUUUUAAAC